ACAACUUUCAACAACGGAUCUCUUGGCUCUCGCAUCGAUGAAGAACGCAGCGAAAUGCGAUAAGUAAUGUGAAUUGCAGAAUUCAGUGAAUCAUCGAAUCUUUGAACGCACCUUGCGCCCCUUGGUAUUCCGAGGGGCAUGCCUGUUUGAGUGUCAUCA
rnacentral:rRNA from 1 species